AACGCGAAGAACCUUACCUGGGUUUGACAUCCUCUGAAUAUUUUAGAGAUAGAAUAGACUCGCAAGAGACAGAGAGACAGGUGCUGCAUGGCUGUCGUCAGCUCGUGUUGUGAAAUGUUGGGUUAAGUCCCGCAACGAGCGCAACCCUUGCCUUUGGUUGCCAACAUAUAAGGUGGGCACUCCAGAGGGACUGCCGUCGUCAAGACGGAGGAAGGUGGGGAUGACGUCAAGUCCUCAUGGCCUUUAUAUCCAGGGCGACACACGUGAUACAAUGGUAGGUACAGAGGGUAGCGAAGUGGUGACACGGAGCCAAUCCCAAAAAGCCUAUCUCAGUUCGGAUUGGAGUCUGCAACUCGACUCUAUGAAGUUGGAAUCGCUAGUAAUCGCGGAUCAGCACGCCGCGGUGAAUACGUUCCCGGGCCUUGUACACACCGGAGUA
rnacentral:rRNA from 1 species